rnacentral:rRNA from 1 species
UACGUAGGGGGCAAGCGUUGUCCGGAAUCAUUGGGCGUAAAGAGCGUGUAGGCGGCCCGGUAAGUCCGCUGUGAAAGUCCAGGGCUCAACCCUGGAAUGCCGGUGGAAACUGUCGGGCUAGAGUCCGGAAGAGGCGAGUGGAAUUCCUGGUGUAGCGGUGAAAUGCGCAGAUAUCAGGAGGAACACCAAUGGCGAAGGCAGCUCGCUGGGACGGUACUGACGCUGAGACGCGAAAGCGUGGGAGCAA